rnacentral:rRNA from 1 species
GACCUCUGACCUCAAAUCAGGUAGGACUACCCGCUGAACUUAAGCAUAUCAUAAGGCGGAAG